rnacentral:lncRNA from 1 species
CUGGGAAUUGUAUCUGUGUGAAAAAUCUAACUUAGGAGGCAGCAUCAAUUAGUAUCUUGUCUAAGACAAAAUUUAGGGAGCUCUGCCUUGACUAUCCCUUGUGUCUACCCACAGUACUCAGCCUCCCCAAGUACCUGAGGAUGUGAAACACCAUGGCCAGCCUCCAUCACCCAGAACUAGGCUCAGCACAAACCUCUCCUGCUGAGGUCUCAAAAGCAAAAGAGCCAUAUCAGCAGGUGAUGAGAUUUAAGCAGAGUCAGACUUCGCAUUUUGCUGACAUGCACAGGCAUUGAACAGUCUCAGAGCUACUACUCUACAUCACCUAGUUUUCAUUUGUUGGUUACAUCCCAUUAACACAUUUUUAUAUCUUUUUUCAUAACCAUAACACUCAGUAAGUAAGUAGUUUGCCUUCUUACUUUUAACACAAAAUGAUCUCAAAGAAGGUAGUAGAUUAAAGCAGUGCUACAAUGAAUCAUGGAUUUAUAUAUGAGUUCCUGAACCUUUAGUUAUUUAAGCCUGUAAAUGACUACAAAUGGAAGAGUCAUUGCAUUCUCCCCAGAUUAAUUGAGGUGAAUACAAAAAAAAAAACUAUUUCUCUUUGAAAUGGCAUAACUGGCAAUAGUCAGUAUGCCCUUUGUUUAAAAAAGUGGCAGAAUUGUCAAAGAAAUUACUUAAAACAUGGAGUUUCUCUUGUUCUUAUGUUGUUUUAUCAUUCUCUGUAAACACAGACUUAGUGUAUGUACUAAGAACUGACAUCAAAGACUGGUGGAGCAAAUGAGAUUUUUUCCAUUAAUGUAAACACUGUUUAGAUUAGAUAUUCUGCAGAGAGAACUGAAGUUUCCAGUUAAUCUUUCAAAUACCUAUGUCAUUUGUUGAACAGUGUAAUGCUAUCUAACAUGGUACUUCUGUUCUAAGUGUAAAGGGAACAUUUGCAAAACAUGUCACCCAUUACUGAUUGCAAGCUCUAUUUACUGUUUAAUCAGCUAAUAUUUAUGUUAGUUGUCUUACUUCUGUUCUGUAUAACUGCUGACAUACUGCAUAAAUAAGGAUAAAAUUUAGGGAGAUCAUCUUAUACUGUUCUAAACUGGGACAAUGUCCCAGUAUUCCCCAGAUGAGAUGAAGUUCAUAUUCUUCUGCUGUUAACCACACACUAAAGGAUUAUUAGAAAAUCUAGUCAUUAAGGAUUUUGUGCAAUUGCCAGAGAAAUAAGAGUGUGCUGUCCUUCAUGUUGCUGUUUUUUCAACCUUAGUGCUAUCACCAAAUCUGGGAAAUAAAUUUUUCUAGUUUUCUGUGGUUUAAAGGUUA